UAAUACGGAGGAUCCAAGCGUUAUCCGGAAUCAUUGGGUUUAAAGGGUCCGUAGGCGGUUUUAUAAGUCAGUGGUGAAAUCCGGCAGCUUAACUGUCGAACGGCCAUUGAUACUGUAGAACUUGAAUUAUUGUGAAGUAACUAGAAUAUGUAGUGUAGCGGUGAAAUGCUUAGAUAUUACAUGGAAUACCCAUUGCGAAGGCAGGUUACUAACAAUAUAUUGACGCUGAUGGACGAAAGCGUGGGGAGCGAACAGGAUUAGAUACCCUGGUAGUCCACGCCGUAAACGAUGGAUACUAGCUGUUUGGUUGUAAGACUGAGUGGCUAAGCGAAAGUGAUAAGUAUCCCACCUGGGGAGUACGGGCGCAAGCCUG
rnacentral:rRNA from 1 species